GAUAGACUGAAUUAUUUUUGGACGCGGGUUCGACUCCCGCCGUCUCCACCA
rnacentral:tmRNA from 1 species